rnacentral:rRNA from 1 species
GUUUGGGAAUGCAGCUCAAAGUGGGUGGUAAAUUCCAUCUAAGGCUAAAUAUAAGUGAGAGACCGAUAGCAAACAAGUACCGUGAGGGAAAGAUGAAAAGAACUUUGAAAAUAGAGUUAACAGUACGUGAAAUUGCUGAAAGGGAAACGUUUGAAGUUAGUUUUGUAUUCGUUGGAUCAGCUUCGCAAGGAGUGUAUUCUGAUGAUAAGCAAGUCAACAUCAAUCUAUGAGUGUCGGAGAAGGGUUUUGAGAAUGUAGCAAUUUUUAUUAAUUGUGUUAUAGCUUGAGACUUGGAUACGAUGCUUUGGAUUGAGGAACGCGUAGUAAGCUUUGAGCGGAUUCGAAAGGAUCUCCUUACUAUGGAUGUUGGUGAAAUAACUUUAAGCGACCCGUCUUGAAACACGGACCAAGGAGUCUAACAUGCUUGCGAGUAUUAGGGUGUUGAAACCCGAAUGCGUAAUGAAAGUGAAUUUCAGAUGUGAUCCGCAAGGUGCAACAUCGACCAGUCUGGAUCAUUUAUGUGAAGGUACUGAGUAAGAGCAAGUAUGUUAGGACCCGAAAGAUGGUGAACUAUGCCUGGAUAGGG